ACACGACUACAUUAGAUACCCGCGUAGUCCCAGCCCUAAACGAUGCGCGUUAGGUGUAUCGGUGACCACGAGUCACCGAGGUGCCGAAGGGAAACCGUGGAACGUGCCGCCUGGGAAGUACGGUCGCAAGGCUGAAACUUAAAGGAAUUGGCGGGGAGCACAACAACGGGUGGAGCUUGCGGUUUAAUUGGAUUCAACGCCGGAAAUCUUACCGGGACCGACAGCAACAUGAAGGCCAAGCUGAAGACUUUGCCGGAUUAGCUG
rnacentral:rRNA from 1 species